CAGUUAUUUAUUAAAUUAAACAUCCCUCUCGGACAAAAUCUCGCUUCGCUAACUUUUCGCGUGGAAUAUCCUUGAAUUAUUGCCGCGUCGUAAAUGUUCGUGUUUCCCGAAGCUCGAUACUUUAUUGCUUCUCUCGAGAUUAAAAAGUUGCAAGCAGUUGCAAUAGAGCACUUUCGGCACGUUGUGACGUCAGGCGUCAUGUUUUAGUACGUCGCAUGUGCAUUAUAAAGCGACACAACUUAUCGACGAAUGGGAUAUAUAUAUAUAUAUAUAUAUAUAUAUACACAUAUACGGCGACCAGUGGAGUUAGGACACGAGAAUAUACCGUAAAUCUCGUGCCUUGGCUUCGCCGGAUAUUAGAUAUUUAGUACAAAGUCUAUCGGAAUCUGAUCAAUCGAUUCAGGGCACACGUAUAACAAACAUUUUCCAAAGUGUCGAAGCUUAUAGGGCGAGCAAACAGUAAACCACCAUCAUUUGCAUGUUAUACUCUGUAUGUAUAAUAUAUGUGUGUGCAUGCGAGUGUGUGUGUGUGUGCGAUUACAGUAUAGUUCCGCAUAACUUUAGUCAAAUAUGAAAGAAGAUUCUAUUGUUCGCAUAUAGUCGAUCGAAUUAUGGAAUAUUGUUUUCGACUAUUCUCGUAAAUAUUAAUUAACGUUAAUCAUAAUUCAACAGAUUUGCCGUUUCUACCUGAAAAUAGAACUAGGACGGGAUAGAGGAUUGAUUAAAUCUCAAUUAACUUUAACGAAAAUUUAUGGGAACCGGCCGCGUCGAAUAAAUGAGGUCGUACGAUUUUCAAGCGUUAUUCGCAAGCUUUUGAGAGCUUUAAUUACGAAAACAGAUUAAGUGUCAAGAAAAAAAUUACGCAAUCAACGAUUAAUAGUCAUUUUGAUGGAAAUAACAUUUCUUUGCGGAUGUUGCUGUUAAGAAAAUAAACUCUUUUGGUUAUAUUCCUAAUCAGAAUAUUUCUUAAUUAAAACGAAACGAAUUGAAUUGUCAAAAAAGGAGAUACUUCUAGAUACAAUUGAGUUACUCGAUCUACGGCAGAAACCAUAAAAAAAUCCGACAGCGAUUGAACUAGCCAGUCGGUGAAGACCCGUGGUGUAUUCGGGUCAGGCAUUUGGCUUACGGGAAGCUUUUUCAAAGGUUUCCACGCGAGUGUCUCCUUUGUGGCUUCUAAUGACAUAAUUCGAUUUCCAUCGUGCCGCAUUAAAUCCAUAUUCGGCGAUGUUGCGCACGAGCGCGCCUUUCGUGCUGCUCAUUCUCUCUCUCUCUCUCUCUCUCUCUCUUAAUUUAUGUCAAUUAAGAAAAGAACUGAAUACAAUGUUUGUAUUUUGAUACAUAAAAUGGAGAUUGUCCGGAUUAUUUAAAAAAUGAGAUGGAGCAAGUAAGCAGAGAGGAAAAAGUACAAACAAGAUCAGAGGGAAAUAUGUAUUAAAAGAUGUAAAACUAAAGAGGAACAGAGAAUGUUGUUAUACGAUGGAUUUAAAAUGUACAACAAUUUACCGAAUAAAAUAAGAAAAGAAAAAAGAUUAAAAAACUUUAAAAGAGUGUUAGUGCCAUAUAUGAGGAGUGGAGAGGGAUAGUGCAAUGUAGAUGUAUGGGAUGUUUAAGUCUGGCGGUUUAGAUAAUUAAUAAAUAGGCAUUAUAUUGGAUUGCAUCACAUAUUGUAGCUAUUGAAGCAAAUAAAGAUAUCUCUCUCUCUCUCUCUCUCUCUCCUUCUCCCUCUCUCUUUCUCUUGCUCUUUCAAAUAUCCUUGUGGAAAUCGCCUCCCAAAGACGUGGCCUUUCACCAAGCGGACACGUUCAGGCAAAUCUCCUUGCUGCCAAUCUUGUUAUCGCUGCCGAUCCACUGAUUGUGCUUCCGAUAAGUUUCGUAAACGACUGUCGUCACGCUUUCACCCACGGCGAAAAUUCAACUCUCGGCAAAAGUAGGGUGUGCACAUCUCGUCCCGAUCGUUUCGUUCCUCUUGAUUUGUUACCGCCGUCUGUCAUCGUCGGCGGGCGGAGUGAACUUCGCGGAAUUAAUUAGCGCGACGGAAUUAAGAUACGCGCGAAAAGUGCCGAUCUCUCGUCUUCCUGAUACGCGUCUGGCUCUCUUCGACUGUCAUUAUUUCAACAAUAAAGACGAACUUUUUCGCGGGGACUCGAGAGGCUACAACGAAUCUCAUUUAUAGCGGGGAAAGGGUGUGAAAUCGACGGCCAUUGCUCCGACUCCGAGAUAGCUUUUGUACUUUUUGUUCAGCCCGGGCCUUUCAUCACGCCAUCCCUUCACGUGCACAAAAGGACUCGGUAAAUACGAAAAAUGCCACGUAGGCAUCACGUCCUCAUCGCUUGCCUUCGAAUCCGAAAAAUCUCUUAUCGAUGACGACGUUUCGUCGCUUCAAGGAACCCGCGUUGAUGCGACCGCGAGAUAAACAAGACCCUUCAAUAAUAAUGCACCUUUAUUUAAUGUAAAAAUAUAAAAUAAAAUAAAAGAAGAUAUGUUGUUUCCUUUACGAAUGAUCUCUAAUCUCUGUGCAACGUUAUUUGGCGAUCCAGCGAUUUGAGGCAAGAGAUACUAAGUCAAAACUGCUAAAUAAUUAAACGAUGUCGCCAAGGUCACAAUAGUCCUUGUAACUGUUGUCAUUGGCAUACGAAACGUGACUCGGUUUAAUAUUGACAACCGUGGCUACGAGAAACUCCAUAGCCCGGAGGGUAGAUGGGCUGCAAAAGAGGAUAGGAGUACACUAGAUAAUUAAGUUCAAGAAAUGGAAGCCGGCCAUUCAUCUCGACAAUCGCUACAGAUUGAUGAGACAGGAACCGAU